AAACAGGAGAAGACAUUCGCACACAGAAGCACAUUCUUAUCACACAUUAGCGUUUAGGACCUGGGAAGCAUAAUGGAAAUAAAUAGGCUAUGUCAGGUCAGGUGUUAUUCAACCCAAUUGAAUAAUUCAAUAACUGACGAGGACAGAGUGCUAUCACCCUCAACCCUGUAUGCCGAGGCCUACACAGACCGACGUUUGGUUGACACUAUCUUCAGAGUAGCUGCCUGGACUGCUGUGAUAUUCUGCUGGCAAGUCCCAUCAGCAUAAUGGCAGAAAAGGAAACAGCUUACUAACUAGGAUCCUUUGGGGAAACAUUCACCAAGUCAAAGGGGAAUUUCAUACCAGUGUGAAAGAAUGUCAGAAAAAGUGUCACUUCAUCGUUGUUUGCUCUGACCACUUUGAUGAGGGUAAGCUCUAACUCACUCCAACAGUUUCCAAGCAUUUCUGUGGUUAUUCUCUUAGAUACCGUAGAUUAAUUCAUCAGACAUAAAUGUGUACAUAGGCUAUGACGUAGAAUAAAGCUUUACAUAUUUGUCUGCGGUUUGUAGAAUUCUUCUGAAAGACCGGGCGAAUGACGUUAUACAGGCGUACACCACCCAACUCUGACUCAGUGCUUAGCACUUUGUCCCACAUUUCCACCAAUUGGGACACUAUCCUAAAUGACAGACCCUCUCAAUCCUUUCGUCAGAACCAUACACUGCCAAUGAACACCUGUAUACAGCUGGCUUUCCACUAUGCCAAUACAUCUGUGGUAAUACCUCCUUUGUUGCUCGGAAAACCUGUUUGUUGAGGCUUUCUAAAUAACAUAUCCGCUGUACUCAGUUCCUCCCGCAGCCUGUUUAAUGACAUGUUUCACCUACUAGUCAGGAACUCCGUGUUGGAACCCCACAUGGUCGAGGGCGGGGAUUGGCUGGCGCUUUGAUCAGGUUCUGAAGCAGGGCUGCGAUUCAUGGCAUGGCAUAGAUCAACUCAUCUGCCAAAGCAUAUGGCAUAUGGCGUGUCAUCCACACAAUACACGCGGAGGCUGUAGUCCGUGGAGUUGGGCUCCGUGCUGCCGAAGACAGCCAGCUUCAUC